rnacentral:rRNA from 1 species
CCUACGGGUGGCUGCAGUAGGGAAUAUUGGGCAAUGCCCGCAAGGGUGACCCAGCCAUGCCGCGUGCAGGAAGAAGGCUUUCUGAGUUGUAAACUGCUUUUGGAAGGGAACAAAACGGGCAUGCGUGCCAACUUGAGUGUACCUUCAGAAUAAGCACCGGCUAACUCCGUGCCAGCAGCCGCGGUAAUACGGAGGGUGCAAGCGUUGUCCGGAUUUAUUGGGUUUAAAGGGUGCGUAGGCGGCUUAUUAAGUCAGGGGUGAAAGACUGCAGCUCA